rnacentral:rRNA from 1 species
CAGUAGCCGCGGGAAAACGUAGGUGGCAAGCGUUGUCCGGAUUUAUUGGGCGUAAAGCGAGCGCAGGCGGUUCCUUAAGUCUGAUGUGAAAGCCCCCGGCUCAACCGGGGAGGGUCAUUGGAAACUGGGGAACUUGAGUGCAGAAGAGGAGAGUGGAAUUCCAUGUGUAGCGGUGAAAUGCGUAGAUAUAUGGAGGAACACCAGUGGCGAAGGCGACUCUCUGGUCUGUAACUGACGCUGAGGCUCGAAAGCGUGGGUAGCAAACAGGAUUAGAUACCCGCGUAGUCCCUGUCUCUUAUAC